GUGAGUAAACUGAAUUCCAAGAGAAGAAGCCAUUUGCUCAAGGGUCAUACUUGUGCUGAAUGGCAUAAUAAGGAUUUAAAGUCCAAUGAAUCUGAUUUCAAAGCUGUUCCCUUUCUAUCGUAGGACACUGUCUAGAUGAAAAUAAAUCAGGACUCAAAGGAACUUCUCCUUUUGUCCUUCUAAAUUGUCUUUUAAUAGAAAGACAAGGUAGAAACCUGUGCCAUUCUUCAAAUAGAUUGCGGUGUUCUGCUGUUUUUAGUAACUGUAUUUCCCCUUUUAUUUUAUAGGAAAAGCCUAGUGUAAUUGUAUCCACACAGUAAUGUCAAUGCAUUACUGUGCAUGGGUGGAAUGCAUUUUCACAUGACAUUUCAUUUGGGACUUCAUAAUAUCCAGGAAUCAAAAUCUGCAAGGACUUCUUUUUGUGACCUGGUUACUUGCUGCAUUAGAUCAGGGACUGGCAAUUGUCAGGACCCCAGGACUUCAUCUACAAAAGCUCUCUGAGAGCAGAUCCACUUUUCUGCAGAGUAUUGCUUUCGCUCCUGUCAGGCUCCAGGGGACAUUUUAGCCCAGAACCACUUUGAACAAAAUCCCUGCCUUGUAAAUUUUUAUAUCACCUAAGUAAUGUGAAUUGAAGCUAAAACCACAUAGAGAUUACCUUUUGUUUGUAUAUGACGAGGAGAACUUCUUACUUCAAUCAUUGUCAAUUUCGUGACCAGCAAUUACCCUCACACUGUCGCAACCUGGGGUGACUUAUCACUCACCCUUAUAUCAAGCUGAGUGCAUUUGGGAUUAUAACUCCACAUGGAAAGGUCUCCUGUGCCCCUGCUCAUCCUUCCUACAUCAGGAUAUUCAUUUUUCCUCUCCACCCUUCACUGCCGGGGCUGCUGAAAGACAAGUUCCCCUGCAGCAAAGGUGCUCAUUGUUCAAACUCUCUGCCUGAGUUCCUAUUAUUGCCUAACUUCAGCCUCUGAGAAUAAGUUGCUACUUCAUCAGGCCAUUAUAAACAUCUUCUUAAAGUCACAUCUUAUCUAGAACUCCUAAUUUUGUUUGGAAGGCUAGAUCAGGGGAUCUUAUCUCCCAUAUGGCUAGGAACGGUUUUUUUCCUCCUAAUAGCCUUCCAAGUUCUACUGAACUUUCUUAGCAUACAGGAGGGUUGCAUGGGGAGAGAAGGAAAGGAAGAGGGA
ensembl:lncRNA